GCGCGCCACAGCGAGCGAGCGAAGGGAAAAAGGGUAAACGAGCCCGCGUCCCACCUGAAUUGCCUCCCCCUCCCCCUUCUCCCACCUCAAGAACCCUAGCCUCCUCCUCCUCCUCCUCCCACCUCAGCCGCCUCCCCCCCUCCCCGCCCCCCGCGCGCAUCCGUCCGCCCCGGAUGCGGAGGCGAGCUUCCCGACGACGGCGGCGGCGUUGGAUUCGAUCUGCAGCCGUCUGCUUCAUCCCGUUCUUCUCCAGCCGAACAGGGGCGAGUCCGUGGGGCGCCGCCGGAUGGGGAAGGAAAUGGAGCCCAGGGAGAUGGGUGGCAGCGGCUCACGCACUCCCUCCCCGAGCGAUGGUCCGGCGGAUGGACCUGGGCAUGCUGCGCCGCGGCGGUGUCCCCGGCUUUCCCAGGACGAGCAGUCCGUCGUGCCAUCGGCGCCGUCCUCGCGUGCUAAGGCACGCUAGCCACCUCCCUGCUCCGUGCCCCACACAUCUGACCCCGCCGCUAUGUUGGGAUGAUGUGCUACUGUGCAGAACAGUGCCUCGACAAACUACAUGAGGUUGGGUUGUGUGAUUGGACCCUGUUUGUGUGCCAGCAGGAAGGGACAAGCAAGAGAAAGUACUGCUAUUCCACUGGAUUUUACUUCCUUUGAUUUCACCAAACUUUGUAUUAUUAUUUUCUUCUGGUAUAGUUCUGCCAAUUUUUUUGCUUCAAUUAGCACAGGAAUAAUGAAGUGAUAUUCAUUCACUUGUUAUCAGUUCACUAUUUUGAAAUGUGAUCUUGCUUGUUACAGCCUGGUGAACAGUUUGCUCUUUUGCUGUCAAAUACUUUGUUGUUGGCUUAUUUUUGAAUACAGAUUGGAUGCCUCGCUGCAUGUUACUCCCAAGAGAAGAUCUCACUCAAGAAGUGGCCAAACUGAGGUGCCAGGUGAUUGGCAUGCUUGAGGAAGAAUACAAGCAUUGGUGCUGCAUUGAGCAACUGAUGGUUCAAAAAAAAAAAAUCAGCAGCUGGAGGUUCAGGAAGUGGAAAAGACCCCCCCCCCCCCCCCCCCAAAAAAAAACCCUGCAACUACGCCAGUUAUAUAGAUGUAUGUAUAACUGAACUUGUUGCUGCAUGAGAUCAUUAUUUUAAUUGUGAAUCCAAUUGUUCUUUAUCACCAGGCCAUGGUCCAUCUUACCCUGAAAUUAAAGCACAACCGUCUUUCUAUUGCUUUUGUCUUUACAAGUGUGUCCCUGAUGCCAUGUUGUCCAAGAUCAACAUUUUGUAGCUUCCUUAUAUAUGGCUUGCUCUCUUUCCACCAUCAUGAAACUUAAUUUGAUUUAUAUUCUGCAGGAGCUUAUUCUUAUUCUCCAUUGCUUCUAAUUUAAGUUCUGUUCUGCCUUGCUGGCCUUGAAUUUAUAUUUUCAAAUAAAAAUUUUGUGCUAAGAUUCUUUGCAUUACCUCAUUCAGGUCAUGGGAUCCAAGAAAUUAUGCAUUCAUGUUGUAGAAUCUGAAAUAGAUUGGUGAGGUUUCGCCUCACACUUGAGAACCUAUAUUAAAUACAUGAAUCCUCUUCUCUCCCUGGUUCAGAUCAAAUGUGGAGAUCAUUCGUUUUCCGCUAUGACUACUAUUUUCACCUCACAAAUGGUCUUUCCUUUUGUUGAUGUCUCGCCUCCUGUGUACUGAUAGAGGCAUAGAAAUAUGCAUGUCUUGGAUGAGAGAAAUAUGAUUGUCCAUGUAUUUUGUAUCUUGCACUUACCUCUUGCGAUUAGUUUCCCUAAAUAUAAAAGAUACGGUUUUCAGUCAUAUUGGUUUUUCGUCCUUUUUGGUAAAAGAUUCAAAGUGUGUGUAUAAUCAUUUAUAGUAGAUAGGAUAGUGCAUUCACUGAAAAUUUGUGAAAGCGUAAGUUAUCUUACUCAGGCUUGUGCUUUUGGAUUGCAGUUCAAAUUUCACCUCGGGUUGUAACAGAGAAGACCAUUGUCGAGACAUAUUUAGAGGUGGUGAAGUUGUGGGGCUUAUUUUGCUUUUUUGAUUACAUGACUAAAAUAGUGUGUAGUUUUUUUGGAAUAGCUAAUGAGUUCUCACUUUAAUUGUUCCCUGGAACACCAUUUUUAUUGGACUCAUCGGUUGGUCCACAAUGAUAGUCAAUUGUUUUAUGAUUUCCCAUUGUAGUAGGUAGAUGUUAUGUUUUUUUUCUUAUAGUUUCCCCUUCGAUUCUCAAUCUGGUCGCUGUUGAGGGUUAUGUACCUAUAUGUAUAUGUCGGGAUUCAGAUACAUGUGCUUGAUUAAUUCAUUUAUUUAUUUC